rnacentral:rRNA from 1 species
GACGAACGCUGGCGGCGUACCUAAUACAUGCAAGUCGAGCGGACUUUCAAGAAGCUUGCUUUUUGAAAGUUAGCGGCGGACGGGUGAGUAACACGUGGGCAACCUGCCUGUAAGACGGGGAUAACUCCGGGAAACCGGGGCUAAUACCGGAUAAUAUCUUUCUUCGCAUGAAGGAAGGUUGAAAGGCGGCGCAAGCUGCCGCUUGCAGAUGGGCCCGCGGCGCAUUAGCUAGUUGGUGAGGUAACGGCUCACCAAGGCGACGAUGCGUAGCCGACCGGAGAGGGUGAUCGGCCACACUGGGACUGAGACACGGCCCAGACUCCUACGGGAGGUAGCAGUAGGGAAUCUUCCGCAAUGGACGAAAGUCUGACGGAGCAACGCCGCGUGAGCGAAGAAGGUCUUCGGAUCGUAAAGCUCUGUUGUCAGGGAAGAACAAGUACCGUUCGAAUAGGGCGGUACCUUGACGGUACCUGACCAGAAAGCCACGGCUAACUACGUGCCAGCCGCCGCAGUAA